AAAUUGAAGAGUUUGAUCAUGGCUCAGAUUGAACGCUGGCGGCAGGCCUAACACAUGCAAGUCGAGCGGUAGCACAGAGAGCUUGCUCUCGGGUGACGAGCGGCGGACGGGUGAGUAAUGUCUGGGAAACUGCCUGAUGGAGGGGGAUAACUACUGGAAACGGUAGCUAAUACCGCAUAACGUCGCAAGACCAAAGUGGGGGACCUUCGGGCCUCAUGCCAUCAGAUGUGCCCAGAUGGGAUUAGCUAGUAGGUGGGGUAACGGCUCACCUAGGCGACGAUCCCUAGCUGGUCUGAGAGGAUGACCAGCCACACUGGAACUGAGACACGGUCCAGACUCCUACGGGAGGCAGCAGUGGGGAAUAUUGCACAAUGGGCGCAAGCCUGAUGCAGCCAUGCCGCGUGUGUGAAGAAGGCCUUCGGGUUGUAAAGCACUUUCAGCGGGGAGGAAGGCGGUGAGGUUAAUAACCUCACCGAUUGACGUUACCCGCAGAAGAAGCACCGGCUAACUCCGUGCCAGCAGCCGCGGUAAUACGGAGGGUGCAAGCGUUAAUCGGAAUUACUGGGCGUAAAGCGCACGCAGGCGGUC
rnacentral:rRNA from 1 species